rnacentral:RNase_P_RNA from 2 species
AAGGUUUGCAGGAUAAUCGCGCUUGCGUGGUAACACGCAGGUGAGGAAAGUCCGGACUCCAACACGAAUAUGGUACCUUGGGAAAUCAAGGAAGGCGUAAGCCUCUGGAAAGUGCCACAGAAAAAAACCGCCUGGAGACAGGCACGGGUGAAAAAGUGCGGUAAAAGCGCACGGUGCAUGAUGGCAACAUUGUGCAGGGGUAAACCCUACCAGGAGCAAGAUAAAACAGUGUGUACGGUUGUUCGUUCCGAUUUAAACACACGGGUAUAUCGCUUAGACAAAUGGUUAUCGCACACAUACGCAUGUCAUAGUGUGGUGUGUGUAACAGAAUCCGGCUUAUGCGCAAACCUUUAUU